CCGACUUCCCAAUGUCAGUGAAAAGAGUGUGAACUCCUACAACUCAAGCCGAGUUGUGAAUGUUGGUGUGCUGGCAGGUGGAAGUCUGGAAGGGAAAGUAGAGGCUUUGAUGGAAAAAGAAUUUAGAGGUUGAGGUGAGUAAGUAGCUAACAUCAGGGUGUCAGACACCAAGCUAACUUUUUUUUUCUGUGUAACAUUAACUAUUUUUUUACUUAGCAAUGUUAGAAUAAAUACCUGGUAUGAUGGAAAUGUCUUACAAGCCUAGUACAGGUUUGACAGCUAAGGACGUUACCUAGCUUGUUAGCACCACCUAGCACAACUCAGAGCGUUGUCUUUUAGCAGAGUCGGAGCGGUUAUGAAGGUUAGCAAAGUUGUUUUCACUCAGGUGCAUGUUGAGGGACAGGAAGUGAAGGCAAAUACUUGUGUUUGUGCUAUCGGGAAGGCCGAGUGCCAUCACGUAGCAGCUCUCCCCAUCUGGGCUGAGAACAACUGUACCUACUCGGAUGUUAAGUGUUUGUGGAAGACGCUGCGACUCACAAAACGGAGGAAAUCACAGCCAAGAAAGUGUCUGAGAUUGCAGCUUCCGCAUCCCAAGGUUAGUAUAUAAAGAAUAAGUCACGAUUUGUGUCUUGUUGUCAUGGCCAUGACCCUACGUUUUCUUUCUGUGCUACAAUCUGAACUUGGCUUGCAGAGAGUUGUAAAUGAACGGUGCUGCUGGCAGGAGAAAUGUGAGGUGGAUUUCUCCCUUGGAUCCAUAUCAGUUCACCAUCAUCUUUAUUUCAGCGGGAAUUAAACCACCUGUCAGCCAGGAGAACAGAGAAUGGGCAUGGUCGUCUUUGGCUCAGCUUGACCGUUUUCCAGGUCUGGGUUGGAUUCUGGCUCCAGAACCGCCUCAGGCUUGUGAUUGGGGAAUCAUUCAUGAGUAAAAGGAAAAGAAGAA